rnacentral:rRNA from 1 species
UACGUAGGGGGCAAGCGUUGUCCGGAAUCAUUGGGCGUAAAGAGCGUGUAGGCGGCCUUACAGGUCAGCUGUGAAAACUCGAGGCUCAACCUCGAGACGUCGGUUGAAACCGUAAGGCUAGAGUCCGGAAGAGGAGAGUGGAAUUCCCGGUGUAGCGGUGAAAUGCGCAGAUAUCAGGAGGAACACCAAUAGCGAAGGCAGCUCGCUGGGACGUUACUGACACUGAGGCGCGAAAGCGUGGGGAGCGAACAGG